rnacentral:rRNA from 1 species
UACGGAGGGGGCUAGCGUUGUUCGGAAUUACCGGGCGUAAAGCGCACGUAGGCGGACCAGAAAGUUGGAGGUGAAAUCCCAGGGCUCAACCUUGGAACUGCCUUCAAAACUCCUGGUCUUGAGUUCGAGAGAGGUGAGUGGAAUUCCGAGUGUAGAGGUGAAAUUCGUAGAUAUUCGGAGGAACACCAGUGGCGAAGGCGGCUCACUGGCUCGAUACUGACGCUGAGGUGCGAAAGCGUGGGGAGCAAACAGG